AUGCUUAACACAUGCAAGUCGAACGAGAAAGUGGAGCAAUCCAUGAGUAAAGUGGCGCACGGGUGAGUAACACGUGACUAACCUACCUUUUUGUGGGGGAUAACCUAGGGAAACCUGGGCUAAUACCGCAUAAUACCUACGGGUCAAAGCAGCAAUGCGCAGAAAGAGGGGGUCGCGGUCGAUUAGUUAGUUGGCAGGGUAAUGGCCUACCAAGACUGUGAUCGAUAUCCGGCCUGAGAGGGCGCACGGACACACUGGAACUGAAACACGGUCCAGACUCCUACGGGAGGCAGCAGUGGGGAAUUUUGCGCAAUGGGGGAAACCCUGACGCAGCAACGCCGCGUGGAGGAUGAAGUCCCUUGGGACGUAAACUCCUUUCGAUCGGGACGAUAAUGACGGUACCGGAAGAAGAAGCCCCGGCUAACUUCGUGCCAGCAGCCGCGGUAAGACGUAGGGGGCAAGCGUUGUCCGGAAUUAUUGGGCGUAAAGCGCUCGUAGGUGGAUCGGCAAGUCCGCAAGCAAAGACCCGGGCUCAACUCGGAAUCCGUGUGCGAAACUGCCGGCCUUGAGGUAGUCAGAGGAUGGUGGAAUUCCCGGUGUAGCGGUGAAAUGCGUAGAUAUCGGAAGGAACACCAGUGG
rnacentral:rRNA from 1 species